CCCUUCCUCCCCAUCCUACCUUCCUGGAUACUUUCAUUGUCUUUCCCCAGAGAUACCUGAACUCUUCCUCAUAAGAUCACAUUAUGGUGGGAGAGAAAUCUUAAAGGGAUUUUCCUGCCCAAGGACAUUCAUGUCUACUACUGUUCUGAUGAAAAAAAUUGUUGACUGAGUGGGAUGAAGCUGUGAUGCUGAAGCCCUACAUUGGAUGGUAGCCCGAGUGAGGGACAAGGGACAGGAAAUGAACCUAGAGAAGAUCUCGAGUCCUGACCUCUUAGGAAAGCUUUGAGGCAUACAGUGGAGUGGAGUGGGUAAGAAAAAGCCAGAGGAUUUCAGACUGGGGGAAUGGCUGAACAAAUUGUGGUAUCUGUUGGAGAUGGAAUACUAUUGUGCUAAAAGGAAUGAUGAACUGGAGGGAUUCCAUGUGAACUGGGAUGUUCCAGGAAACCAGGAACAGAUACAAAGUGAAAGGAGCAGAACCAGGAGAACAUUGUAUACAGGAAGUGAAACACUGUGGCACAAUCAAAUGUAAUAGACUUCUCUACUAACAGCAAUGCAACGACCCAGGGCAAUUCUGAGAGACUUAUGAGAAAGAUGCUACCCACAUCCAGAGAAAGAACUGUGGGAGCAGAAAAGCAGAAGAAAAACAACUGCUUGAUCACAUGGGUCUAGGGGAUAGGAUUGGGCUCCGCAGUGUUCCAGGAUUUGGUACAAUCCGAAUAAAGUCAUCUGCUAAAAAGGACAUCCAUUGGAUGUCACUAUCUUCCAGCCUAGGUUGCAUAUUGGCAGAAGAGGACUGUGGGUUGUGGACAAAGAACUAAUUGCUUGGAGCCGUCUUGUGAGACCACAGCGAAUACAGCAGCACUGAAGCUGCUUUACUGGCUUUGUUGGAGAGAUAGCUGCAAAAGAGAAGAGAAAAGAGCACAUUCUCCCAAGGGAAACGAAAGCUCUGCAGAGAAGCCCUCUGGCCAUUGGAGAGGCCUCACGGCUUCGGGCUGUGCCCCUUCCGUGCCACCCUGACGAGAGGCAUUUCUGUUUUACUUGGAUUACGACAGUGCUGACGUGGGCAGAAUGCCGGAGUCAGAAAAGCCCAGGUUCAAAUCCUGCCUCAGACACUGACUAGAGUGGCCCGAUGCUGGGUGGUCACUGAACGGUCUGCC
rnacentral:lncRNA from 1 species